UACGUAGGGUGCGAGCGUUAAUCGGAAUUACUGGGCGUAAAGCGUGCGCAGGCGGUCUGUUAAGACCGAUGUGAAAUCCCCGGGCUUAACCUGGGAACUGCAUUGGUGACUGGCAGGCUUUGAGUGUGGCAGAGGGAGGUAGAAUUCCACGUGUAGCAGUGAAAUGCGUAGAGAUGUGGAGGAAUACCGAUGGCGAAGGCAGUCUCCUGGGCCAACACUGACGCUCAUGCACGAAAGCGUGGGGAGCAAACAGG
rnacentral:rRNA from 1 species